UGGGGAAUCUUCCGCAAUGGACGAAAGUCUGACGGAGCAACGCCGCGUGUAUGAUGAAGGCCUUCGGGUUGUAAAGUACUGUCUUUGGGGACGAACGGCCUGUAUGAAAAUAUUGUACAGGAUUGACGGUACCCGAGGAGGAAGCCCCGGCUAACUACGUGCCAGCAGCCGCGGUAAUACGUAGGGGGCGAGCGUUGUCCGGAAUCAUUGGGCGUAAAGGGCGAGUAGGCGGAUAUUUAAGUCCGGUGUGAAAUUUAGGGGCUCAACCCCUAGACUGCACUGGAAACUGGGUAUCUUGAGGACAGGAGAGGAAAGUGGAAUUCCUAGUGUAGCGGUGAAAUGCGUAGAUAUUAGGAGGAACACCAGUGGCGAAGGCGACUUUCUGGACUGUAACUGACGCUGAGGCGCGAAAGCGUGGGGAGCAAACAGG
rnacentral:rRNA from 2 species